rnacentral:rRNA from 1 species
CUCGUAGGUGGCCAACUAAGUCGGACGUGAAAUCCCUCGGCUUAACCGGGGAACUGCGUCCGAUACUGGUUGGCUUGAGUUUGGGAGAGGGAUGCGGAAUUCCAGGUGUAGCGGUGAAAUGCGUAGAUAUCUGGAGGAACACCGGUGGCGAAGGCGGCAUCCUGGACCAACACUGACGCUGAGGAGCGAAAGCCAGGGGAGCAAACG